rnacentral:rRNA from 1 species
CAGGACGAACGCUGGCGGCGUGCCUAACACAUGCAAGUCGAACGGACGAGAGGAGCUUGCUCCUCGAGUUAGUGGCGAACGGGUGAGUAACGCGUGAGCAACCUGCCUUUCAGAGGGGGACAACGGUUGGAAACGACCGCUAAUACCGCAUGAUGCAUUCUGGUCGCAUGAUCGGGAUGCCAAAGAUUUAUCGCUGAAAGAUGGGCUCGCGUCUGAUUAGAUAGUUGGUGGGGUAACGGCCUACCAAGUCGACGAUCAGUAGCCGGACUGAGAGGUUGAGCGGCCACAUUGGGACUGAGAUACGGCCCAGACUCCUACGGGAGGCAGCAGUGGGGAAUAUUGGGCAAAGUGGGGGAAACCCUGACCCAGCAACGCCGCGUGAAGGAAGAAGGCUUUCGGGUUGUAAACUUCUUUACCAGGGACGAAGGACGUGACGGUACCUGGAGAAAAAGCCACGGCUAACUACGUGCCAGCCGCUGC